GUUGGCAGCCAGACCACCUUGAAUACGCCCUGUCUCAGUUGAUCCCGGAAGCUAGGCAGGCAUGGUCUGGUUAGUUCUUUGGUGGGAGAAUGUGUAUGUGAAAGUUCUUGACU
rnacentral:rRNA from 1 species